UACGGAGGGUGCAAGCGUUGUCCGGAAUCACUGGGCGUAAAGGGCGCGUAGGCGGCUCGGUAAGUAGGGGGUGAAAUCCUGCGGCUUAACCGCAGGGCUGCCUUCUAAACUGUCGAGCUCGAGCACGGUAGAGGCAGAUGGAAUUCCCGGUGUAGCGGUGGAAUGCGCAGAUAUCAGGAGGAACACCGGUGGCGAAGGCGGGUCUCUGGGCAGUAACUGACGCUGAGGAGCGAAAGCGUGGGGAGCGAACAGG
rnacentral:rRNA from 1 species